rnacentral:snoRNA from 1 species
AUCCUCCAGGUUCCUAACCCCUCAGACAUAAAUGUUGGUCUCAGUGGCUACAAAUGGAGGAAAAGUAAAAGUGAGGUGGACUUGAAGUCUUGAGUGACAUGCAAGUUCAUUUAAAAUAUAU